UAGUGUGAAGCCACUUGCCUUGGAGCCU
rnacentral:piRNA from 1 species